rnacentral:rRNA from 1 species
CCUACGGGAUGCAGCAGUGGGGGAUAUUGCACAAUGGGGGAAACCCUGAUGCAGCGACGCCGCGUGUGGGAAGACGGUCCUCUGGAUUGUAAACCACUGUCCCCAGGGACGAAGAUGACGGUACCUGGGGAGGAAGCUCCGGCUAACUACGUGCCAGCAGCCGCGGUAAGACGUAGGGAGCGAGCGUUGUCCGGAAUUACUGGGUGGAAAGGGAGCGUAGGCGGGACUGCAAGUUGGGUGUCAAAUCUACCGGCUCAACCGGUAGCCGCACUCAAAACUGCAGUUCUUGAGUGAAGUGGAGGCAGGCGGAAUUCCUAGUGUAGCGGUGACAUGCGUAGAUAUUAGGAGGAACACCAGUGGCGAAGGCGGCCUGCUGGGCUUUUACUGACGCUGAGGCUCGAAAGUGUGGGGAGCAAACAGGAUUAGAUACCCCUGUAGUC